UACAGAGGGGGCAAGCGUUGUUCGGAAUUACUGGGCGUAAAGGGCGCGUAGGCGGCCUUCUAAGUCGAACGUGAAAUCCCCGGGCUCAACCCGGGAACUGCGUCCGAUACUGGAAGGCUUGAAUCCGGGAGAGGGAUGCGGAAUUCCAGGUGUAGCGGUGAAAUGCGUAGAUAUCUGGAGGAACACCAGCGGCGAAGGCGGCGCUCUGGGCCGGAACUGACGCUGAGGAGCGAAAGCGUGGGUAGCAAACAGG
rnacentral:rRNA from 1 species